AUUGAACGCUGGCGGCAGGCUUAACACAUGCAAGUCGAGCGGGGUGAUGGUGCUUGCACUAUCACUUAGCGGCGGACGGGUGAGUAAUGCUUAGGAAUCUGCCUAUUAGUGGGGGACAACAUCUCGAAAGGGAUGCUAAUACCGCAUACGUCCUACGGGAGAAAGCAGGGGAUCACUUGUGACCUUGCGCUAAUAGAUGAGCCUAAGUCGGAUUAGCUAGUUGGUGGGGUAAAGGCCUACCAAGGCGACGGUCUGUAGGGGGUAUGAGAGGAUGAGCCGCCAAAUGGGGACAGAGACACGUACCAGACGCCUACGGGGAGCAGCAGUGGGGAAUAUUGGACAAUUGGGGGAACCCUGCUCCAGGCAUGCCGCGUGUGUGAAGAAGGCCUUAUGGUUGUAAAGCACUGUAAGCGAGGAGGAGGCUCUUUUGGUUAAUACCCAAGAUGAGUGGACGUUACUCGCAGAAUAAGCACCGGCUAACUCUGUGCCAGCCGCCGCAGUAA
rnacentral:rRNA from 1 species